AUUGAACGCUGGCGGCAGGCCUAACACAUGCAAGUCGAACGGCAGCGGGGGGAAGCUUGCUUCCCCGCCGGCGAGUGGCGGACGGGUGAGUAAUGCCUGGGGAGCUGCCCAAUCGAGGGGGAUACCAGUUGGAAACGACUGCUAAUACCGCAUACGCCCUGAGGGGGAAAGGUGGGGAUCUUCGGACCUAUCGAGAUUGGAUGCACCCAGGGGGGAUUAGCUAGUUGGUGAGGUAACGGCUCACCAAGGCGACGAUCUCUAGCUGGUCUGAGAGGAUGACCAGCCACACUGGAACUGAGACACGGUCCAGACUCCUACGGGAGGCAGCAGUGGGGAAUAUUGCACAAUGGGGGAAACCCUGAUGCAGCCAUGCCGCGUGUGUGAAGAGGGCCUUCGGGCUGUAAAGCACUUUCAGCGAGGAGGAAAGGGUGGCAGCUAAUACCUGUCAUCUGUGACGUUACUCGCAGAAGAAGCACCGGCUAACUCCGUGCCAGCAGCCGCCGCCGUAA
rnacentral:rRNA from 1 species